rnacentral:rRNA from 1 species
UACGGAGGGGACUAGCGUUGUUCGGAAUUACUGGGCGUAAAGCGCACGUAGGCGGAUUUGUAAGUCAGGGGUGAAAUCCCGGGGCUCAACCCCGGAACUGCCUUUGAUACUGCGAAUCUCGAGUCCGGAAGAGGUGAGUGGAAUUCCUAGUGUAGAGGUGAAAUUCGUAGAUAUUCGGAAGAACACCAGUGGCGAAGGCGACUUACUGGACACAUAUUGACGCUGAGGUGCGAAAGCGUGGGGAGCGAACAGG